AUUUCAAUUUCUAAAUAUGCAGCAGCACAAGAAGUGUAUCCAAACUCAACUAUUUAUUUCUGUGGUUGUUAAUUCAGGGAUGUUCUCAACCAGGAGGAAAUCUGGAAUCUGAUUUGUUUAGGUCACAGAAACCACCAUCAAUAAUCAGAGAACCGAGAGAUCUUCCCCAUGACAAUGAUUUCAUUGAAUGGGUUGAUUUGCCAUCUAUAACAGAACUUAUAGAAGGCUUUUAGUUUUCUCUCGCGAAUUUCUCAGAUACAGUUAUUGAUCGAGGUAUCAGUGAUCGAUUAUAAUGCACUAGCCAUUAUGCCUAUGGUGCAUAUGGUUGGAAUGCCAUCCGAAAAAUCUACCCUUUUCUGAAUGCAACGAGUCCAGGCAAAUAUAGAUGUCUUUUCUCAUAAGCAGUUCCUUAGAGGUGGAACUUUCUCUUUUAACAUUACUACCCAUAUCCGUUGCUGAAAUCGUCUUGUCAAUAUUAGUAGUUUAGAACCCAUAUUCCUUCCUCUGAUCAAACAUCGUGUCCACAGUAGUACUGGUAUUUGUUCCUCAUAUCCAUAGUUUUCGAAUGUCCUAAAACAAGGACUGAAGUAUCCAUAUCCAUUUUUUCAUCUCCGUUGGUGAAUCCUCAAAAUCACCAAUAGUUAUUCCUCAAGCAGAUAGUCUGCAAUUAGUAUGUCCCUUAGAUCAAAGGGCAUGCAAAACAUCAAUAUCGAUCAUCCAAUAUUGAUGAAAAUCAGAAUUUGAAAUGGAGGCGCUCCUAGCAGAAUCCGACUGCAGAUCAGCAUCACAAGCCAAGGUCGGUGAAGAUGCAGAGGCCUUAUAUUGCUGUUUAUCUUUCCAAAGAAACUGCGUGUCCUGAAAGCAGACAACAGUUCGGAGCUGGCAGCAAUUUAAAGGAUUCUUUCAUUUUCCAGGAAGCAUCUCCUUUCAAUCCGUAGAACAUGCGGACCAAAUUCACAGUUCUGGCCUACGAGGCCAAUCACAACUAUUGUAUAGCUGCUAAUCUAGCAGCAUUACAUAGAAGAAAGAAAGAAAGAAAAAAUGCAGCAACGGCUGCUGAAGUCUAGAAGACAUGAAUGAUAAUCAGUCAGCAG